GGGGGGGGGGGGGGUCGGGGCCUCUGCCCUGCUGCCGCAAUCUGAGUCCAUCCAGGCGGGAGGCAGGCAGGUGUGCCCCUCGCCGGCCUUGCUCGUUGGCAGAAAUUCGAAAACCGGACAUUUCAUUGUUGUGGAAGGCAAUGGCAGAAGUUGAUAAGAAGAUGCGUGAACUUGGUUUGAGGUUCAGAAAUCCAGAUGAGGGUUGGCUGUUUUGGGUGGCAUAUGGUGGCCGUACUGGCUUUGAUGUGAGGAAAAGAUACACAAAUAUAAGCAAAAUAGAUGGUAAGGUGACUUCAUGCAGAUAUGUUUGUUCCAAUGAAGGUUUGAUGUGAGGAAAAGAUACACAAAUAUAAGCAAAAUAGAUGGUAAGGUGACUUCAUGCAGAUAUGUUUGUUCCAAUGAAGGUCAUCGAAGAAAAAAGAAAACAGAACAAGUGACAAAGUGUUUUAGAGCUGAAAUAAGAACUGAUUGCAAAGCUCGAAUAGUUAUUUCAUUGGAUCGAGAAACAGGAAAUUAUGAGCUGAAACAAAGUUGUGAAGAUGAUAUUCUCUGCGAUGAAGAUCUAUUCUAGUCUUUUGGAUAGGAUGGUUAGAUAUAUGGCUUUUGGACAGGAUGGUUAGAUAGAUGCCUUUUGGAAAGGACUAACUAUAGUCUUUUAUGUUCUCUGUUUAGUAUUUGGACAGAGCUAACUAUAUUUUGUGGCCAAAUUGUACAAGUGAAUGUGGCCUUAGAAUAGUUGUUAAAUGGCUACUCAACCAGGAUUGAUUAUGUGAUCAAUGGAUUUCAAUACCUUCUUAUUA